AUUCCAGCUCCAAUAGCGUAUAUUAAAGUUGUUGCAGUUAAAAAGCUCGUAGUUGGAUUUCUGGUCUCUGUGUGAUGGUCCGCCGUGAGGUGAGCACUGUUGCUGGGGACCUUCUUCUUGAAGGGGUGUGGUGUUCUUAACUGAGUGCUGCAUUUAUUCAAGACCUUUACUUUGAAAAAAUUAGAGUGUUCAAAGCAGGCGUUUUGCUUGAAUACAUUAGCAUGGAAUAAUGGAAUAGGACUAGGGUUCUAUUUUGUUGGUUUCUAGGACUUUGGUAAUGAUUAAUAGGGAUAGUUGGGGGCAUUAGUAUUUAAUUGUCAGAGGUGAAACUCUUGGAUUUAUGAAAGACUAACUUCUGCGAAAGCAUUUGCCAAGGAUGUUUUCAUUA
rnacentral:rRNA from 1 species